UGCACUACUCGAUGAUGUAUUAGUUGACUACCAGUAGUCGGCCCCGUGCGCUAGGGCAUCGUCAGCGUCUGGCGGCGACACAUGUGUUUGUUGAUUGUCCCCCCGUGCGCUAGGGCAUCGCCAGCAUCCGGCCACAAUGCGUGUAUUCGUCGUUUGUCACCCGUGUGUGCUAUGGGGAUCGCCUGCGGCGAGUCUAUGCGCCAAUUUCAUGAUAUCCAUGUGUUAGGCGCUUCAGCUUAUACCAUCAGAAUAACACUAUACCACUCGCGCCGGAUCUAAGGUAAUCAUAUUACGAUUUCAUGUCUUGGAUACCAUGUGUUAUUACUAUUGCUAAAUCUGUAUAUAAAACUGCUAGAUGCUAAAUACUGUUUGUUCAUCGGUUAUAAAUUAUACAUAUCGUCUAUACAUAACAGCCUCAAUAUCACAUAUUUUUAUAUAGAAACUGCCAAUCAAAUAUUUAGCGUAAAUAGAAAUUGCACAGCAAACUAGACAAUAUAAGAUUCUGAAUCUGUUACAUGCAUUUUUUUGUUGUGUUAGUGAUACAUCCAAACUAAUAAAAUUCUACAUGUUUUCUAAGUACAAAAUAUAUGUUAUCACGUGUUGGUCUUGUAUAGGCCCGGGCCCACAGUGGUGCAAACUGUGCGGCCCGUACAGGGCCCAAAAUUUUAGGGGGCCCAAAAAAUUUUAAGUAGGCCACGUACUAAAAAAAAACCUAUGGACUACUCACUACUCGACCAGUGGGCUGCUGGGAGCCAACGAGCCAGCGAGGCUCGAUGUCCCGCUGAGGCCAUCAAGGCAAGUAUCCAUCCAGCCAGAUUCUGCUUCCCCUAAUCACGCUGCUGCCGUUUUUUUGGAUCGUGGCAGCCUGCAGGUUGCCUCUUCGUCCGUUCGUCGCCUCGUCGUUCGUCUCCCCCUCGAGUCGCUCGUCCGCUCACAGGCUGGUCGUCGCCUCGUCGCUCGUCUCCUCCUCGAGUCCCUCGUCCAUUUGCAGGAUGCUCAUCGUGUCGUCGCUCGUCUCCUCGACGCCUCGUACUGUCAUACAAACUACAGACUACAGAGACUUUGCCUCCUCUCAAAAAUUUUAGAUUCGUGGACGUUUUCUUGUCCGAUUGAUCUUCAAGUUCUUUUUAUUCAUCGUCUAAUCGUCUUUAUAUUAUAUUUCAACAAUGCAGAUUUGAAUCAUCAUGGGAAAACAACAAUCUGAUGCCUAUAAACGCAAGAUAAAAACACAAGAACAAAAUUUAAUAAAUCUUAUAAAGAAGGUAUGGACAUAUUUGUUAAAAAAACACCAGAAGUAUCAUCUGGUAAUCGGUCUGUUGAUCCUUCUAGCCUUGCACUUGCAAUUUUUCCUUACAUUGAUUCAAGAUCUGCUCACACAGAGACAGAUAAUAUAGAGGUAGAGACAUAUAAUAUUGAGGCUGAUG
rnacentral:lncRNA from 1 species